GGAUCAUGCAGAGUUGCAGAGGUUGAAACAGGUAGGUAUAUUCCAAAAUAAUAUAAUGCAGGUUGCUUACGAGAUCAUGCAGUGAUUUAGCAAUUGAAGCAGUUAAGAUUCUUCAAUGAAGGCAAUACGCCACAAAUCAGGAUUCUUGGAAGCUGAUAAGGAAAGUCUUUCGGUAAGAUGUAAUUCAGGCAAGUUCAGGAUGAAGUAAUGCAGGUUAGUGCCUUUCAGUAUGAGGAAAUGUAGAUGAGUACAGAAUGAGG